UGGGGAAUUUUGGACAAUGGGCGCAAGCCCGAUCCAGCCAUGCCGCGUGAGUGAUGAAGGCCCUAGGGUUGUAAAGCUCUUUCACCGGUGAAGAUAAUGACGGUAACCGGAGAAGAAGCCCCGGCUAACUUCGUGCCAGCAGCCGCGGUAAUACGAAGGGGGCUAGCGUUGUUCGGAAUUACUGGGCGUAAAGCGCACGUAGGCGGAUCGAUCAGUUAGGGGUGAAAUCCCGGGGCUCAACCCCGGAACUGCCUCUAAUACUGUCGAUCUGGAGUUCGAGAGAGGUGAGUGGAAUUCCGAGUGUAGAGGUGAAAUUCGUAGAUAUUCGGAGGAACACCAGUGGCGAAGGCGGCUCACUGGCUCGAUACUGACGCUGAGGUGCGAAAGCGUGGGGAGCAAACA
rnacentral:rRNA from 1 species